rnacentral:lncRNA from 1 species
GCUAGAUGUCAUGGUCUAGGAAGAAACCUUGACCCUUUGAGCUCUGUGGCUUUUCCAGUGUAUGAUUAGACAAAGUCCAGACCCUUCCCUGUGAAAUUAGAAUGAGGAUUAAGUAGCAGUUAUACUGGUAGGGCAUUGUCUCCGGCUCUAUCUUAGCAGCUCAUGUUCAUAAUUGUUCUUGGAACUAGCUGUUCCUUUGGAGUCAGGACUUAUAGUUGACCAAGAUCACGGGUGCCUUCAACACUGAUCUCCAUGGAACUCUGCACGAGGUAAUUUCUCUUCUGAGAGGCCAGCAUCCAGCGAAUCAGUCCUGAGCUUUGAACUGUGUGCACUGUGAAACAUAUUUGCAAAAGUCACCAAAUAAGGUGCUCUUUCAACUUUUAAUUGUAAGAAAAAUUACGGAACUAGGGACUUCUCUUUCUACUUCAGUAGCUGUAGGAAAUCUGCAUAUUGGUUCGUAU